CUCACAUUGGAGGAUGUGCAAAGAAACAAGCUGCAAGAGAGAACAAGGACCAGGGGGCUGCCGGGAAGGUAAGCAAAACGUUUAAAAAAUGCCCCUUGGACGUCUGCGGCCUCCAUUUUAAUUGCAGCGAGGACGGGAGAAUGAGGACCAGGGGGCUGCUGGGAAGCCUUUUGCGGUGAUUCAGCAGCAUUGGAACAGUAGCAAGAGUGGUCUGUUCGUGGAAUAGCAGCAGCCUCCUGGCAGUCGGAGGUGGCGGGGGAAUUGGAGGCAGAGACCUCCCAGCCUCCUCUUAGCGAUUGCAGGAGGUGGCAGCAUGGCGUCGGCAGCAGGAGCCGGCCAUUGCAGAGUCAGCGGUCGCAAUUCCUCCCAGGCUUCUACCAGCACAACAUUGGCAGUGGGAAUGGGCAUUUCGUGUAAUGGCAGCAGCUUCUCAGUGGUCCCUGCAAUUGGGUGCAGUGGCGUCAGCAGCAGCAAUGACAUGGCUCCUUCCAGCAAUCAAGGCGAGACGUACACACUGACCUCGACUCCAGGUCAUGGCUAGGCUCAGAUGCCUGCAUCUGAGCUGAGCGUUCCAAACACCUUUAUAGAGAUAAGAUUUUAGUCUUUAAGAUAUGGACAUUUUCUUACCUUUGGCUGUUUUUCUUUAGUUUUUCUGUUUUAUUUUCAUUCUA